rnacentral:rRNA from 1 species
UAGAGUUUGAUCCUGGCUCAGGACGAACGCUGGCGGCGUGCCUAAUACAUGCAAGUUAGAACGCUGAAGAGAGGAGCUUGCUCUUCUUGGAUGAGUUGCGAACGGGUGAGUAACGCGUAGGUAACCUGCCUUGUAGCGGGGGAUAACUAUUGGAAACGAUAGCUAAUACCGCAUAACAAUGGAUGACACAUGUCAUUUAUUUGAAAGGGGCAAUUGCUCCACUACAAGAUGGACCUGCGUUGUAUUAGCUAGUAGGUGAGGUAAUGGCUCACCUAGGCGACGAUACAUAGCCGACCUGAGAGGGUGAUCGGCCACACUGGGACUGAGACACGGCCCAGACUCCUACGGGAGGCAGCAGUAGGGAAUCUUCGGCAAUGGGGGCAACCCUGACCGAGCAACGCCGCGUGAGUGAAGAAGGUUUUCGGAUCGUAAAGCUCUGUUGUAAGUCAAGAACGGGUGUGAGAGUGGAAAGUUCACACUGUGACGGUAGCUUACCAGAAAGGGACGGCUAACUACGUGCCAGCAGCCGCGGUAAUACGUAGGUCCCGAGCGUUGUCCGGAUUUAUUGGGCGUAAAGCGAGCGCAGGCGGUUUGAUAAGUCUGAAGUUAAAGGCUGUGGCUCAACCAUAGUUCGCUUUGGAAACUGUCAAACUUGAGUGCAGAAGGGGAGAGUGGAAUUCCCAUGUGUAGCGGUGAAAUGCGUAGAUAUAUGGAGGAACCACCCGGUGGCGAAAGCGGCUCUUCUGGUCUGUAANCUGACCGCUGAGGCUCGAAAGCGUGGGGAGCGAACAGGAUUAGAUACCCUGGUAGUCCACGCCGUAAACGAUGAGUGCUAGGUGUUGGAUCCUUUCCGGGGAUUCAGUGCCGAAGCCAACGCAUUAAGCACUCCGCCUGGGGGAGUACGACCGCAAGGUUGAAACUCAAGGGAAUUGACGGGGGCCCGCACAAGCGGUGGAGCAUGUGGUUUUAAUUCCNAAGCAACNCGAAAAAACCUUACCAGGUCUUGACAUCCCGAUGCUA